rnacentral:snRNA from 1 species
GGAGGUAAGGGCAAUCUGUCUGUGACACUGUUAACCACACUGACCACCACGCUCUAUCUGGCCGAUCUGGCUGGCAAGGGGGAUGUUCCCAUCCAUUCACAACUGUUCCCUGUGCAUUUCUCCUGAUGCUAUGUACUCACAUUCCUCAAACGGAGGAGGACACUUCCAAAAUCAAGGAAAACCCGUCUUCAUUAAGGGUCCAUGAGCAGUCUUGUUCCCCUGCUAAACUUCCAAACAAAGUCUCAAGAAAUAGAUUCAUAAGACAGCUGGCAUGUUGUAGACUGUUAGUAAGGUGCAGGAUUGCUAACUCAGAUUUUAAUGAUUCAUAUUCUGUUUUGCAUUUUGAGAUGAUAUAUAUCU